rnacentral:rRNA from 1 species
AGAGUUUGAUCAUGGCUCAGGACGAACGCUGGCGGCGUGCCUAAUACAUGCAAGUUGAGCGCUGAAGGUUGGUACUUGUACCGACUGGAUGAGCAGCGAACGGGUGAGUAACGCGUGGGGAAUCUGCCUUUGAGCGGGGGACAACAUUUGGAAACGAAUGCUAAUACCGCAUAAAAACUUUAAACACAAGUUUUAAGUUUGAAAGAUGCAAUUGCAUCACUCAAAGAUGAUCCCGCGUUGUAUUAGCUAGUUGGUGAGGUAAAGGCUCACCAAGGCGAUGAUACAUAGCCGACCUGGAGGGUAUCGGCCACAUUGGGACUGAGACACGGCCCAAACUCCUACGGGAGGCAGCAGUAGGGAAUCUUCGGCAAUGGACGAAAGUCUGACCGAGCAACGCCGCGUGAGUGAAGAAGGUUUUCGGAUCGUAAAACUCUGUUGGUAGAGAAGAACGUUGGUGAGAGUGGAAAGCUCAUCAAGUGACGGUAACUACCCAGAAAGGGACGGCUAACUACGUGCCAGCAGCCGCGGUAAUACGUAGGUCCCGAGCGUUGUCCGGAUUUAUUGGGCGUAAAGCGAGCGCAGGUGGUUUAUUAAGUCUGGUGUAAAAGGCAGUGGCUCAACCAUUGUAUGCAUUGGAAACUGGUAGACUUGAGUGCAGGAGAGGAGAGUGGAAUUCCAUGUGUAGCGGUGAAAUGCGUAGAUAUAUGGAGGAACACCGGUGGCGAAAGCGGCUCUCUGGCCUGUAACUGACACUGAGGCUCGAAAGCGUGGGGAGCAAACAGGAUUAGAUACCCCGGUAGUCCACGCCGUAAACGAUGAGUGCUAGAUGUAGGGAGCUAUAAGUUCUCUGUAUCGCAGCUAACGCAAUAAGCACUCCGCCUGGGGAGUACGACCGCAAGGUUGAAACUCAAAGGAAUUGACGGGGGCCCGCACAAGCGGUGGAGCAUGUGGUUUAAUUCGAAGCAACGCGAAGAACCUUACCAGGUCUUGACAUACUCGUGCUAUUCCUAGAGAUAGGAAGUUCCUUUGGGACACGGGAUACAGGUGGUGCAUGGUUGUCGUCAGCUCGUGUCGUGAGAUGUUGGGUUAAGUCCCGCAACGAGCGCAACCCCUAUUGUUAGUUGCCAUCAUUAAGUUGGGCACUCUAACGAGACUGCCGGUGAUAAACCGGAGGAAGGUGGGGAUGACGUCAAAUCAUCAUGCCCCUUAUGACCUGGGCUACACACGUGCUACAAUGGAUGGUACAACGAGUCGCGAGACAGUGAUGUUUAGCUAAUCUCUUAAAACCAUUCUCAGUUCGGAUUGUAGGCUGCAACUCGCCUACAUGAAGUCGGAAUCGCUAGUAAUCGCGGAUCAGCACGCCGCGGUGAAUACGUUCCCGGGCCUUGUACACACCGCCCGUCACACCACGGGAGUUGGGAGUACCCGAAGUAGGUUGCCUAACCGCAAGGAGGGCGCUUCCUAAGGUAAGACCGAUGACUGGGGUGAAGUCGUAACAAGGUAACC